UACGUAGGCAGCAAGCGUUGUUCGGAAUUACUGGGCGUAAAGCGCACGUAGGCGGCUUUGUAAGUUAGAGGUGAAAGCCCGGGGCUCAACUCCGGAAUUGCCUUUAAGACUGCAUCGCUAGAAUUGUGGAGAGGUAAGUGGAAUUCCGAGUGUAGAGGUGAAAUUCGUAGAUAUUCGGAAGAACACCAGUGGCGAAGGCGGCCUUCUGGACAGUGACUGACGCUGAGACGCGAAAGCGUGGGGAGCAAACAGG
rnacentral:rRNA from 1 species